rfam:Ailuropoda melanoleuca scaffold634_237, whole genome shotgun sequence.
CAGCAUGUUUCCAAGGGCUAUGGCCGGUUGUGGCCAUGGGUUCUCCAACUGCAUGCGAGAGCAACCUGGAGAGACUUUGACAGCACAGGUCAGCAUCAUACCUGCAGCUGCCACUCGACUUUCCUAUAACA